GACGAACGCUGGCGGCGUGCCUAAUACAUGCAAGUCGAGCGAGCUUGCCUAGAUGAAUUUGGUGCUUGCACCAAAUGAAACUAGAUACAAGCGAGCGGCGGACGGGUGAGUAACACGUGGGUAACCUGCCCAAGAGACUGGGAUAACACCUGGAAACAGAUGCUAAUACCGGAUAACAACACUAGACGCAUGUCUAGAGUUUAAAAGAUGGUUCUGCUAUCACUCUUGGAUGGACCUGCGGUGCAUUAGCUAGUUGGUAAGGUAACGGCUUACCAAGGCAAUGAUGCAUAGCCGAGUUGAGAGACUGAUCGGCCACAUUGGGACUGAGACACGGCCCAAACUCCUACGGGAGGCAGCAGUAGGGAAUCUUCCACAAUGGACGCAAGUCUGAUGGAGCAACGCCGCGUGAGUGAAGAAGGGCUUCGGCUCGUAAAGCUCUGUUGGUAGUGAAGAAAGAUAGAGGUAGUAACUGGCCUUUAUUUGACGGUAAUUACUUAGAAAGUCACGGCUAACUACGUGCCAGCAGCCGCGGUAAUACGUAGGUGGCAAGCGUUGUCCGGAUUUAUUGGGCGUAAAGCGAGUGCAGGCGGUUCAAUAAGUCUGAUGUGAAAGCCUUCGGCUCAACCGGAGAAUUGCAUCAGAAACUGUUGAACUUGAGUGCAGAAGAGGAGAGUGGAACUCCAUGUGUAGCGGUGGAAUGCGUAGAUAUAUGGAAGAACACCAGUGGCGAAGGCGGCUCUCUGGUCUGCAACUGACGCUGAGGCUCGAAAGCAUGGGUAGCGAACAGG
rnacentral:rRNA from 1 species